rnacentral:rRNA from 1 species
GACGAACGCUGGCGGCGUGCUUAACACAUGCAAGUCGAACGAAGUGGCGACCGGGUGAGUAAUACGUGGGUACCCUGCCCUCCUUUUUGGGAUCAGACUUGGAAACGUGGUCUAAUACCGACUAAAGGGGGAUGGGCUCGCGGCCUAUCAUCUUGUUGGUGGGGUGAUGGCCUACCAAGGAGGUGACGGGUAGCCGGCCGGAGAGAGUGACCGGCCACAUUGGGACUGAGAUACGGUGCAGACGCCGACGGGAGGCAGCAGUGGGGAAUAUUGCACAAUGGGCGAAAGCCUGAUCCAGCCAUGCCGCGUGUGUGAAGAAGGUCUUCGGAUUGUAAAGCACUUUAAGUUGGGAGGCGUUACCAACAGAAGAAGCACCGGCUAACUUCGUGCCAGCAGCCGCGGUAAUAC